UGAGUUUGUGUCUCGGGUCCUUCAACACUAUAAGGUUGUCUCGGUGUAACUUGUCCCUAAUGCUUGGAAGCUCAUCUUGGCCUUCGUUAUCAGGUGUGGUCGGAUUAGGAGAGUUCCCAUACUGAAUCUAUUUGUGAAUGUUAUUGUCUUGAUCACCAACCACAACUUUCAUAGGAGGUUCCAUUUCAAAGAUAGGGAUAGGUUGGACCUGGUUUUGAAUAAUAUGCCAACUUCAAUCCAUAGGUGGAAAGAUAGGUUUUUCUUUGCCGAGGACUCAAGGACGUUCCAAUUCCCUACUUCUUGGUCGGUAGUGAAUACCCAGAGGGGUAAUGUGGCUCUAGAAAUUGGGGAUGAUGAGAAUGAGACCCAUAAGUUACUGAAGGUCUUGUCCAUGUGGUGAUUGGUUCUGAGACUUAAGAUGACAAGGUUUUGUGGAUGUAUAGCCUGAGUCUUGGUGAACUUUGUUAGUGGUGUUGUCUGUUUUCGUUCUUUCCUUUGUGUGAUGUUUUUGUGUAUUUUAACCAUCCUUGUCCUUUUUGCUACAACUAUGUAGUGGUGCUUGAUCGAAGUCUCCUCCUAGAAGUUUUGAAUGAAAUGGAGGAGGAACAUGCUCAUAGGGAAGACAUUGCUGGGGGAGAUCUAAGAGCGUAGCCAUCCAGGAGGGGAGGCUGUUGGUACCUCAGUGGCUAUGGCUCAGGAAGUCAUGCACCAGGGUUGGCUACUGCUCAAGCUGGGGAGUCUGGGUCUUCGUCUGAUAGACUUCCCCCAACUUCUUUAGUCUCACAAAAGCGUCUGUGCCAAGAGAGGGAAGGUGACCCUAAUAAGAAGAAGAGGAGUGAGGUCCCCAUUUUCCUAAGGAGUCUAGUGUGCAGAUGGCUGGUGAUCCCGAGAUUUCUUCAGCCCAUUCUUCGCGUGGAACUUCUUCUAGUGAGGUUGUUGUUGGUUCCCUUCCUGGAAAUCAUGACGGAGUGGGGUAUCCAAGAAGAAGAGGAGUGAGAAGGAAAAGAAUCCCAUCUCUCCCUCUACUGAAGACUUCUUUUCUCCCUGUUAUAUGGUCACAAACGAGCAAUCAGUGUUCGAAGACUCGUGUUGUUGUGACUGAGGGCAUCCUUCCUUGGGAUAGGUCACACCUGGUUGGCAUCUCCUUCAAUGAACUCAUGGAGAUGUGAUACAACCAAGUGGUCGGGAAUCAGGUCAUGCUUGAGAGCUUCUUGCGAGGGCUGAGUUUGAUCAUAGGGCUGGGAGGAGUUUAAGUAGAAGUAUGAGAUUGGUGAGAAUGCCUAACACGAACUGUUAGUAGAGUGUGAGAGGUUGAGAGGGGCGAAAGAAAGCUUCUCACUUGGUGGCUGCAGCAGGAGAGCUCGACUACAUUGCCCUGAAGGCUACAUUGGAUGAGUUUUAGAAGACCUCUCUUAUUGCAGCGAAAAAGGCUUUAACUGUGGAGGAGGACUUGAAGACGCACAGGGUGAAUCUUCUGAAAGUGGACAACGAGAUUGACACCUUGAAGAAGAAGUUGAUGGUCUGUGCGCACAACAACAAGGUUUUGAACAAAAAGGUGAAGAAGACAAUCAACUAGGCUCGUUAUGAGGUCUUAGCUGUUGUAGAGAAGUACCAAACGUCUAAGACCUUUGAGAGGGAGUUGGCUAAAUUUGGGGCUAACUGUUAUCUUGUCGGGCUAUCAACUUUAUGGGAGGUGGUUGAGAAGGUUCACCCAGAGUUUGACUUCACCAUAUUUGCUAAAGAAUGGGCACGGAUAGAAGCGAGGAGGCUAGGGCAGCGAAGGGGACUGAGAGAGCAGCGGUCUCUAUCGGGGUUGGUGCUCUACCUUCUUUGCCAGAGCAAACAACUCUUCCCGUUUGGCCGGAGCAGAGUAUUGUUCCUGCUCGGCUGGAAAGAGAUGUCGCUCCUGUUCAAGACGUUGCUUCUAGGCUUGUGGAGCCGAUCCGCGGGUGUCUUCUGACUAGCCUGAAAUUCAAGUGCUUUCCUCCAAGCCUGGCAUCCCAGUGCCUACACCCCAACUUGUGGCCGUUAAGCAGGAGUUUGUUAGAAAGUCCUGUGCCCCUACUUCUGGGGAGCCCUCCUCUCCCUCCUAUUUAAGCUGCUGCUGGUGUCAUCGAAGGGUCAAAAGAUUUGGCUUCUUCUCAUCUUCUUGGUGGAGGGAAUGAUCAAGUGGAGCGUAUCAGUUGAUGACUUUACCUUAUUUCUUUUCGGGUCUUCUUCCUGUAAUUUCUCCUCAUAGCUUCAUGUAACUCGUAAUCUUACAAUGAAAGGUCUUCUGUAUCUUUUUUCUGUAA